rnacentral:rRNA from 1 species
UACGUAGGGGGCAAGCGUUGUCCGGAAUCAUUGGGCGUAAAGCGCGUGUAGGCGGAUGGGCAAGUCUGCUGUGAAAGCUCCUGGCUUAACCGGGAGUGGUCGGUGGAAACUGCCAAUCUGGAGGACGGUAGAGGUAGGUAGAAUUCCCGGUGUAGUGGUGAAAUGCGUAGAGAUCGGGAGGAAUACCUGUGGCGAAGGCGGCCUACUGGGCCGGACCUGACGCUGAGACGCGAAGGCGUGGGGAGCGAACGGG